UAUCGCUUACUUCCGGUAUACUUCCGGAAAAUUUGCAUAAAACUAGCAAGUGAGCUUUGUUCUCUGUACUCAUCUCAAGAUUGAAUGCUAGGUUAUAGCAAACAAAAAUACGCUUUUCUAGUUUUGUGAGCAUCUUAAGUCCAGUCCUUAUUAAUGAGUUUUUAGGCGUGUCUAAUAGAUGGCGUGUUAAUUGUUUGUGUCAGUUUUGGGCUUAUGGCGGUUUGCUGUCAAGAGUUAAGCUAUCUUUUCUUCGAAAAUUACCAAUGUAUUUACAGGAGAAAACGUGUUGAAAGGGUUGUGCAGCUUACUGCUGUCAGCCAUUUAUGUGUUCAAAAUCAUUGUAUUCUACUGAAGGUGGCGUCAAAAUGAAACAGGUUAUUCAUUACAAGUUUCUAACACAUUGGCAUGACAGAUUUGAUGAGAAGUCAUAUUUAGAAGAAAAAGGACAAGGACAAUACAGUCAACAAGGUUCCUUGUUUGCUAACCCGUUGGCUGCUACCCUACAAUCUCCCUGUUUACUUCCUUACACAGGUCCUAUUGAUUUGAGGGUAACUCUUUCACUACUGAUCACAUCAAGUCAUUAACUGUUAUAAACUGACGAGAGAAUGCUGCAAUUCAAAACUAGUGCAUUGUGUAGUUGUUAGAUAAAUGGCAAGUGCAUAUCUGGGCUCCCUUCUUUUCUGUGGCCCCGUUUCCCUAACUAACCACUAACCAACGCCCGCCGGUGGUCACUCACCCGCUGUGAAACCAGGAGGAGGGGAGGGCUCUGGUCGAACG